rnacentral:lncRNA from 1 species
UAAAAAAGUUCUUAUCCUAGAUGAACUUUCCCUUGCUCCUACUAGAAGCAGAAGAGGGGGUGGGCAGCAUAGUUUAGGGUCAGUUUCCAUUCGAAGUUCUUCUUCUUCUCAACCUAGUUCCACUUCUCCUUCAUCUUCUAGAACUAGGCAUUCUCAUUCACAUAGGUCUUCUGCCAAAAGUAGAGAUUCCAAUGAGCCAAUCCGUGAACCUACAGUAGACGAG